UAACAUGAGAGUUUGAUCCUGGCUCAGGAUGAACGCUGGCGGCGUGCUUAACACAUGCAAGUCGAGCGAAGCAUUUUUAAUGAAGUUUUCGGAUGGAUUUAGAUUUGACUUAGCGGCGGACGGGUGAGUAACGCGUGGGUAACCUGCCUUACACUGGGGGAUAACAGUUAGAAAUGACUGCUAAUACCGCAUAAGCGCACAGUGCCGCAUGGCACGGUGUGAAAAACUCCGGUGGUGUAAGAUGGACCCGCGUCUGAUUAGGUAGUUGGUAGGGUAACGGCCUACCAAGCCGACGAUCAGUAGCCGACCUGAGAGGGUGACCGGCCACAUUGGGACUGAGACACGGCCCAAACUCCUACGGGAGGCAGCAGUGGGGAAUAUUGCACAAUGGGCGAAAGCCUGAUGCAGCGACGCCGCGUGAGUGAAGAAGUAUUUCGGUAUGUAAAGCUCUAUCAGCAGGGAAGAAAAUGACGGUACCUGACUAAGAAGUCCCGGCUAACUACGUGCCAGCAGCCGCGGUAAUAC
rnacentral:ncRNA from 1 species